NNNNACGUCUGUCAAACGGUAACGCAGGUGUCCCAAGGCGAGCUCAGCGUGGACGGAAACCACACGUCGAGCAAAAGGGCAAAAGCUUGCUCGAUCUCGAUUUUCAGCACGAAUACGGACCGCGAAAGCGUGGCCCAUCGAUCCUUUCCGAACAGCGGCGAGCUAUGCGUCCGCCGAGAG
rnacentral:rRNA from 1 species